CACUUUCUGCCGUAGUACCCUUGAGCAGAGUAUCUACCCUAAAUUGCUCUGGUAAAAUUACCCAGUUGUAGCAAUGGGGAAGUAGUUGUAGGUAACAUGGUAAGUGGCUUUGGAAAAAGGUGUGAGCUUAAUGAAUGAAUGUACAUUUCAAGAUGGGCUCUCUGGAAAUUAGUGGUGGGCCUAAAUAUCUGAGUGAGGCACAUCAGGAAUAGCUUCCGUGUCAUUCCAAGCCGAUGACAUUCCUCUAGUCCAGGCAAUCGGGGAAGGGAAAAUCUGAGCUAAAUGUAGCAAUUUAAAUGUCUGGCUCUGCGUCUCUUGCCUGUUCCUUACCCAGGACUGAAUGCUGCUCUCUGGAACCAGUCCAGCGAGAUAUCACUCAUCGGGAUAAAACUCGUCAUGUCCAUUUUUAUCACGCAAUCGCAGAAUGUGUCUUCAGACAAGUCUUGCUUUCAGGUGCACUGAUUUAUCGCACGUUGAAAGAGAGCUCGCAGUCAGACCCGCAGAGGUCCGAGGCAGCCGACGGAGGCAGGAAGACGAGGCAGCGGGUGGAGGCAGGUUGCAGGGCGGCUCGUUGCGAUUUAAAACUCACGCUGAGAUGCACUUCGUCAGCCGACCGAGACAAGCGCAGUGCCAUUAAAAGAAAAAGUGAAAAUGAAAAGGGGGAAGCAGUAGGCCGCAGAGCGCUCUUGGCUUCGGCAAAGCAGGGAACCCUGGCCUUGCCCCCCCUCACUGAAGCCUACCUGCAGGUGCCUGUUUCCAGCCUGUUCUUGGAGAAGAGGCCUCACAUACUGGGUGAAGCAUGUCGCCAUAGCUUUGGAAACUUGAGAACUGUUUUUUUUUUCGUCUCUCCCCUUGUUGUCUGUCUUUUGCAGGGGGUUUUCCAUCCAGAAACGGCUAUUUCAGUAAGAUAA
rnacentral:lncRNA from 1 species